UAUUGUACAAAUAACAUAUACUUUACAAGCUCUACACAUAAUAAGCUCUAACAUAUACAAGCUCUACAAGCUCUACACGUGAUACGGUGCCCUGGUGUUAACCCUGUAGCUCUACAAGUGUCUUCAAUCUUCUUCAACAUGGAGCUCCUUCGGUAGCGAGCACAAACUGGGCACCUGCAUCAUCACAGGAAGGCAAUUUUAGAUCAUAAAAAGGAAUGUUCCAAGCACAGUUUAGAGAAAAGAACCAAGUAAAUUUGCCCUCAAUCAUACAAACAAAGUUUAGAGAAAACCAAACAUGAACAAGUACUUAUUAUGCAGUUUUUAAAGUUUUUAAUACAUUUAUUUUCUAUUAGCAAAACUGAAUAUGCUACUUCCUGAUUCAUGGCUGCAUAGUCCAGCUUGCUACACCAGUUUGUUCUCAUGCAAAAAUUAGAAAAAAUGUAUCAUUGGUAAUUAUGCAACUCUGUUUGGAGUCAUUUCUCCAAACAGUUACUGCUGUUAUAGUUACUGCCGUAUCCUAAUUAAUAGUACUUUACAGUAGAUAAACAUUUCUUGAUGCUAAAAAAGAUAAAGGCUUGUACCAUGACAUGUCCAGCAAGCCUAAUUAAUAGUGUCAAACUGUAGCAGGACAUAAAGGAACAGUAUAGUAGUAACUUAAGCGCGCGCACACACACACACACACACACGCACACGAUCAAUUCAAACCCAAACAAAUCAAAUCACACUCUUCAUCUAGACCGCUAUAGAUCCAUGUAUUAAUGCUUAGCAUCAAGCAUUAGGCCAUGAAGCAUCUGUCCGAUUUGUUCAACAAGACGAGUACAUACCUGACUCCAGGUCGAUGCGGUGGAUGGGGCUGUACUUGAACAUCUGGUCCAGGGACGAGCCUGC
rnacentral:lncRNA from 1 species